rnacentral:rRNA from 1 species
AGUGGGGGAUAACGUAGCGAAAGUUACGCUAAUACCGCAUAUGCCCUGAGGGGGAAAGGUGGGGAUCGCAAGACCUAUCGCUUUCGGAGUGGCCGAUAUCAGAUUAGCUAGUUGGUGAGGUAAAGGCUCACCAAGGCGACGAUCUGUAGCKGGUCUGAGAGGABGABCVGCCACACUGGGACUGAGACACGGCCCAGACUCCUACGGGAGGCAGCAGUGGGGAAUUUUGGACAAUGGGGGCAACCCUGAUCCAGCCAUGCCGCGUGAGUGAAGAAGGCCUUCGGGUUGUAAAGCUCUUUCAGCCGGAAAGAAAUCGUGCAGGCUAAUAUCCUGCGUGGAUGACGGUACCGGAAGAAGAAGCACCGGCUAACUACGUGCCAGCAGCCGCGGUAAUACGUAGGGUGCGAGCGUUAAUCGGAAUUACUGGGCGUAAAGCGUGCGCAGGCGGUUUUGUAAGACAGGUGUGAAAUCCCCGGGCUUAACCUGGGAACUGCAUUUGUGACUGCAAGGCUAGAGUAUGGCAGAGGGGGGUAGAAUUCCA